AGUCAAUCCCUGGUACAGCCUUCGUUGUUGUUAGGCUCCUCAAUCCCCUCGCACAGGCGCCGCCGCCAACCCUGCCCUCGAUCGUGGCGCCGCCGGCGUCCCUCCUGUCGCUCGUGCCGCCGCCGUCGCCGACCCUCGCACAGCCGCAGCCGCCUGCUCUCCUCUGCUGCCCCAGCGCCCCGAGCAUCGCCCCGUCGAAUAGGCGCUCCCCACGGCAGCGCCUCCUCCCUAGAUCAGCCACUGACGACCAUCAACGCCCGCGAACCAAUCCAUAGGAAGGACGAGUAUCCCUCCCAGCCCCCUGCGCCGCCGUCUGCCUCUGACGAUUCCACACACGUGUAGGCGACAAUGGAACAAAUUCAGACAUUCAAAGAUAUUCAUCCGUCAGAAUAUUCAGGUUUGCCAUGUGAAGAAAAAGGAUAUGUGGGAGCUUUUGGAUGGACAAAGGCUCCAGCAAUGAAGAGAAGAGAGCUGCAUUCCCUACUUGCAAUUCUAGUAACUAUCUUUGUUAUAACUUGUAGAGUGUACCCGCAAAAAAAACUUGUAGAGUGUGAUGGAUUAAUUGGGAUGCUAUGUAAUCAGAGUACGUACCCUAUCAUAUGUAUCAUGACUAAUUGCGACGAAGGUCUGCAUUCUGUGAAGAAGACUCCCAUUUAUAUGUUUAUUAGUGA